GAUGAACGCUGGCGGCGUGCCUAAUACAUGCAAGUCGAGCGAACGGACGAGAAGCUUGCUUCUCUGAUGUUAGCGGCGGACGGGUGAGUAACACGUGGAUAACCUACCUAUAAGACUGGGAUAACUUCGGGAAACCGGAGCUAAUACCGGAUGAUAUUUUGAACCGCAUGGUUCAAAAGUGAAAGACGGUCUUGCUGUCACUUAAAGAUGGAUCCGCGCUGCAUUAGCUAGUUGGUAAGGUAACGGCUUACCAAGGCAACGAUGCAUAGCCGACCUGAGAGGGUGAUCGGCCACACUGGAACUGAGACACGGUCCAGACUCCUACGGGAGGCAGCAGUAGGGAAUCUUCCGCAAUGGGCGAAAGCCUGACGGAGCAACGCCGCGUGAGUGAUGAAGGUCUUCGGAUCGUAAAACUCUGUUAUUAGGGAAGAACAUAUGUGUAGGUAACUGUGCACAUCUUGACGGUACCUAAUCAGAAAGCCACGGCUAACUACGUG
rnacentral:rRNA from 1 species